rnacentral:rRNA from 1 species
AUUGAACGCUGGCGGCAUGCUUUACACAUGCAAGUCGAACGGUAACAGGCCGCAAGGUGCUGACGAGUGGCGAACGGGUGAGUAAUGCAUCGGAACGUGCCCAGUCGUGGGGGAUAACGCAGCGAAAGCUGCGCUAAUACCGCAUACGAUCUCUGGAUGAAAGCGGGGGACCGAAAGGCCUCGCGCGAUUGGAGCGGCCGAUGUCAGAUUAGGUAGUUGGUGGGGUAAAGGCCCACCAAGCCAACGAUCUGUAGCUGGUCUGAGAGGACGACCAACAACACUGGGACUGAGACACGGCCAAGACUCCGACGGGAGGCAGCAGUGGGGAAUUUUGGACAAUGGGCGCAAGCCUGAUCCAGCAAUGCCGCGUGCAGGAAGAAGGCCUUCGGGUUGUAAACUGCUUUUGUACGGAGCGAAAAGGUCUCCUCUAAUACAGGGGGCUCAUGACGGUACCGUAAGAAUAAGCACCGGCUAACUACGUGCCAGCCGCCGCCGUAA